GGGGGCCCGCACAAGCGGUGGAGCAUGUGGUUUAAUUCGACGAUACGCGAAGAACCUUACCCGGGUUUGACAUUGUAUCGAAGCAUCCAGAGAUGGAUGUGUCUCUUCGGAGACGGUAUGACAGGUGCUGCAUGGUUGUCGUCAGCUCGUGCCGUGAGGUGUUGGGUUAAGUCCCGCAACGAGCGCAACCCCUAUCUUUAGUUGCCAUCAGUUCGGCUGGGCACUCUAUGGAGACUGCCACCUAAAGUGGAGGAAGGUGGGGAUGACGUCAAGUCAGCAUGGCCCUUACGUCCGGGGCUACACACGUGCUACAAUGGCCGGUACAGAGCGCAGCGAGGCCGCGAGGCGGAGCGAAUCGCUUAAAGCCGGUCCCAGUACGGAUUGGAGUCUGCAACCCGACUCCAUGAAGUUGGAAUCGCUAGUAAUCGCGCAUCCAGCAUGGCGACGGUGAAUACGUUCCCGGGCCUU
rnacentral:rRNA from 1 species